GAAGUUCCUGAGUCUAAAGGAGUGGAAGAGUGUGACCAGAGUGCUGGUAUGAGAUGGCAAGAGAGCUCAACCCUGAAAGAGAAUUAGAGGACACAGCAAGAAACUGCCCAUUUAUGCCAUGUGAAAGGCACUGUGGAAGAAGAAGGAUCCAGGAAGAGAAGAGUGCAAAGAAAACUUCAUCUGAAAUAAGCAAGUGUCCUUGGCGGCUGGCACAGCUAUUAUGUGACCUGGCCUCCAUUACCAGGCUUGCUCCCGUGAGAGUCUGACUUGGAAGUGGACACCUCGAGGAAGGGGCCCCAUGUGGAAACCAUGUGGCUGGGCAGCCUGUCACAUGCCUUUAACCAUUGUUCCUAGAAGCUUGGCACCCCCAUGAGCUACCCAACUGACUGAGUCCGUCUGUCCUCUGUGAGUAACAACCCUGGGAACUGCAGAAGCAAAUAGAAAAGAAAAGCCCAAGAACUUGGAAUGGUUGCCUUCUGGAGUGGUAAAUCAAGAGUGGGAAGAGGUGGACCAGGAGACUAUUGUUUUUUAUUAUAAGCCUUUGUUUUCCUGUUGGGCUUUCUAACCAUGACUAUUACAAUUUCUAACCACGUACAGGGGUGAGUUUGAUAAGCAUUAAAAUCGAAACAACAAGAAAGGAAACAGACAAUAAGAACUAUCUUUUGGAGAGUGUAAAUGCGCUACACAAUGUUACCUCUCUCUUGUUAGUCUGUGGGAGACGUUACUUGUUGAUAACAGCUCUAUUUCCCUCCAGGGCCUGGAAACAGACUCACAAACCUUCCCGAUAUCUAUUUCUAGGUAUAAUGAAGCUGGGUCUUCGGAUGAAAACUAUUUGCCACUCUUGGCCUAAGAGGAAAUACUCAAUCUCAGGACUUGCAUUCCUGAACUUAAGUGAAAACAAGACCAGAAUAUGUUUUAUGGUAUACUAAAUCAGAACGUAUAUCUUGGUAUACUAUACCUAAUUCUGACAAAUAACCUUAAUUAAGAGAUGUAUGUCACCACUAUAGAACUCUAUUAUUCCAGUGAAAUUGCUACAGUUGAAAAAAAAACCCAUUUAGGUUUCUGACCAUGAACAUGAAGAUAAACUUGGAAACUUUACAGCACUAUGAUUAAUAGAAUUUUAUUACUUCAGAGUUUUCAGGGUGGUGCAAAUCUCCUCACUAACAAUACUGGCAUAACACUAUAGAAGAAAAAAAUGUUUCUUCAAGUCAACAUGUAGUUAAUUCACAUUUGGAGAUAAGAAUACCGUGACAACAUGACAAUUUAACGAAUUUUGAACAGCUUUAGAAAGGGGAUUAUUAAAAGAAAAAGAAAAGAAGUGUUUUGUGGUAGAAAAACAGCACACCAGAAUUAUCUGGACAAUUUUUAACAGUCAUUUGCAAGGAUUUGUUUUUCCCUUCUUUUAUCAUAAUUUCCUUCCUUCCUCCCUCCCUCCCUUCCUUCCUUCCUCUCUUUCUUUAAUUUCAUUUUUACUACUACAGUGGUUGUAUUAUUUGCCUAUGAUGAAAAUGAGAUUCUGUACAAGAUUCAAGAAGCAUACUUAAAUCCAUCAUUAAAAAUCUCCAGGCAUUUUUCAGUGGCACCUUUAUAUUACUUGGAAUUUGGCUGUAUUUGCUUUAUCUUUAUAUUAAUCACAUGGCUAGUAUGCCAGGGCAAACUUGAAUUCUGUGGCCAACAAAGUCUCAGAGAAGGUUGUAUCUCUGAAGAGGAAGACCUAACGGUACAUGGUAAAUGAGAUAUGGAAUAAUAUGCAUAAUGGUUUAAUGUUACCUAGUCCCCAGAAUCUGUCAAACCAGUGGAGUGAUUUUGGGCAAGGCACUUAACUUCUGAAUCUUAUUUCUCUCAUCUGUGAAAUGCAAUGAUUGGGUUUAAUGAUCUCUAGGGUGAUUCCCUGCACACAAAUCCCUUAGUGAUGACAUCCAUGGUUUACAUCUUUAGGAUUCCUGUGGAUGAGCAUUUAAACAUAGCUUUCAAUGUUUAUGUAGUUAUGUAGGUAGGGUAGUCUGUAUUGUCUUAGGGAAACAAAAAAGCAUGACCAGUAUUAAGAACAAUGCUAAGACUGACUUAUUUCACUUAGCACAGUACCCUAUAGGUCAAUCUAUGUUGUCUCAAAUAACACAAUCUUAUCUUUUUUAUGGCUGUGUAAUAUUACACACACACACACACACACACACACACACACACACACCAUAUUUUCCUCAUCCAUUCAUCUAUUGCUGGAUGCUUAGGUUGCUUCCAUGUCUAGACUAUUGUAAAUAAUGCUGCAAUAAACAGCCAUAA